GACGAACGCUGGCGGCGUGCCUAACACAUGCAAGUCGAACGGAGAAUUAGCAAUAAUUCUUAGUGGCGAACGGGUGAGUAACGCGUAGACAACCUACCCUUUAGAUGGGGACAACACCGCGAAAGUGGUGCUAAUACCGAAUAUCGCUUGAGAAGCGCAUGCUUUUCAAACAAAAGAUGGCCUCUAUUUAUAAGCUAUCGCUAAAGAAUGGGUCUGCAUCUGAUUAGCUAGUUGGUGAGAUAAAAGCUCACCAAGGCAACGAUCAGUAGCCGGUCUGAGAGGAUGAACGGCCACACUGGGACUGAGACACGGCCCAGACUCCUACGGGAGGCAGCAGUGGGGAAUCUUCCGCAAUGGACGAAAGUCUGACGGAGCAACGCCGCGUGAGUGAUGAAGGUUUUCGGAUCGUAAAACUCUGUUGUUAAGGACGAAUGUAUAGAUUGUGAAUAAUGGUUUAUAAUGACGGUACUUAACGAGGAAGCCACGGCUAACUACGUGCCAGCCGCCGCCGUAA
rnacentral:rRNA from 1 species